GUGCCAGCAGCCGCGGUAAUACGUAGGGGGCGAGCGUUGUCCGGAUUUAUUGGGCGUAAAGCGUGCGUAGGCGGCCAGGUAAGUUGGAUGUCAAAGCCAGCGGCUCAACCGCUGUCCGCAUCCAAAACUGCUUGGCUUGAGUGCAGGAGAGGAGAGUGGAAUUCCCGGUGUAGCGGUGGAAUGCGUAGAGAUCGGGAGGAACACCAGUGGCGAAGGCGGCUCUCUGGCCUGUUACUGACGCUGAGGCACGAAAGCGUGGGGAGCAAACAGGAUUAGAAACCCCCGUAGUCC
rnacentral:rRNA from 1 species